rnacentral:rRNA from 1 species
GGCGUAGGAGGCGAGCGUUAUCCGGAUUCACUGGGCGUAAAGCGCAUGUAGGCGGCGGUGCAAGUCGUGUGUUAACGCCCCUGGCUCAACUGGGGGAGGUCAUGCGAUACUGAGCGGCUAGAGGGCAGUAGAGGCACGUGGAAGUCCCGGUGUAGCGGUGGAAUGCGUAGAGAUCGGGAAGAACACCCGUGGCGAAGGCGGCGUGCUGGGCUGCACCUGACGUUGAGAUGCGAAAGUGUGGGGAGCAAACGGG